UAGAUUGAAGCCAGUUGACUAGGGUAUUUAGCUGUUAACUAAAUUUUCAUGGGGUUGGAGCCCAUCAAUCUAG
rnacentral:tRNA from 1 species